rnacentral:rRNA from 1 species
CCUACGGGGGGCUGCAGUGGGGAAUAUUGGACAAUGGGGGGAACCCUGAUCCAGCCAUGCCGCGUGUGUGAAGAAGGCCCUCGGGUUGUAAAGCACUUUCAGUGAGGAAGAACGCCUGGUGGUUAAUACCCAUCAGGAAAGACAUCACUCACAGAAGAAGCACCGGCUAACUCCGUGCCAGCAGCCGCGGUAAUACGGAGGGUGCGAGCGUUAAUCGGAAUUACUGGGCGUAAAGCGCGCGUAGGUGGCUUGAUAAGCCGGUUGUGAAAGCCCCGGGCUCAACCUGGGAACGGCAUCCGGAACUGUCAAGCUAGAGUGCAGGAGAGGAAGGUAGAAUUCCCGGUGUAGCGGUGAAAUGCGUAGAGAUCGGGAGGAAUACCAGUGGCGAAGGCGGCCUUCUGGACUGACACUGACACUGAGGUGCGAAAGCGUGGGUAGCAAACAGGGUUAGAUACCCCAGUAGUC